rnacentral:misc_RNA from 1 species
GUUUGCACUAAUUAUUAGUAAACGUCAUUGAGCAAUAAAUAUUUGGGGAAUACACAUAACUAAUGGAAGCAAGUUUGGGAUUCCCAUAUCAACUUAAAUCUUAAUACCACAGGUCAUAUUAUUCCCCAAUAACUAUGGGAAGCAAGUUUGGGAUUCCCAUAUCUACUUAAAUCUAAUACCACAGGUCAUAUUUUCCCAAGUUUUUUAUUCUAUAGAAGCAAGCUAAAAUAAAAAUCUUCGACUUGGGCUAGAAAAAGCAAUUGCCAACAUACAUCAUUUCAUUUGACGUAGUCAGUGAACCAAUCCAACAUAUUUCCAUGGGCUUCUUCAGCAUGUUUGACUGCAUUCUCAUCUUCCAUUUUAUACCUGACUGUCCACCCAUGUGCCACGCCAGGAAAUAUCUUGACAUAGCCAUUGAUCUCAGGCCUGGUGGAUAGAACCUCUUCGAACUGUUUGACGAGUGCAGGAGGAGAUAUUUUGUCAAUCUCAGCUCCCAACACAGCAAUUGGCACCUUGACCUCUUUUAUAUCAUCUACAGUGACAAGGGAAGGAUGUAAAAGCACUGCAGCUUGAAUGUAAUCAGACUUUGCCAGCUCCACAACAACCUUGGCACCCCAGCAGAAACCAGCUGCUCCAAUUGCUGAUAUGCCUUUGCUUUUUAAAGCCAUAAUAACUGGUUUUACAUCUUCAAAUCCUUUAUCCGUCCGUUCCAUGCAACCUUAUCCAGACAGGUAUUGGCCUCUCAACAUUUUCAGGUACAUAUGGGUCUCCAUUGAAGAAGUCGGGCACCACCACAUAGAAUCCAGCAGCAGCAACUUUGUCAGCAAGCAAAAACAUCCGAAAUGAGAACAAUUUUCCUCAGGUUUGGUGCCUCGAAUCCAAAAACAUCCGAAAUGAGAACAAUUGCG